rnacentral:rRNA from 1 species
CAGCAGCCGCGGUAAUACGUAGGUCCCGAGCGUUGUCCGGAUUUAUUGGGCGUAAAGCGAGCGCAGGCGGUUAGAUAAGUCUGAAGUUAAAGGCUGUGGCUUAACCAUAGUACGCUUUGGAAACUGUUUAACUUGAGUGCAAGAGGGGAGAGUGGAAUUCCAUGUGUAGCGGUGAAAUGCGUAGAUAUAUGGAGGAACACCGGUGGCGAAAGCGGCUCUCUGGCUUGUAACUGACGCUGAGGCUCGUAAGCGUGGGGCGCAAACAGGAUUAGAUACCCGCGUAGUCCCUGUCUCUUAUACA